AUGAUGAACCGCAUCCGACAUAAUUAUCCAUCACUGAUCCGGUGCCUACGAGUUUUCCAUAUACUGGUUCUCGCUUAUUUACUUUCCCGCUGCUACUGUUACAAUCACUACAAAAUACCAAAAACAUUACUUUUGCUGUCUUUACUUUUGUUGCUGCUACCACCACUAUCAUAUUACUUUGCUACUAAACACUUUGCUACAGAUACUAAGUUUCCAGGUGUGGUUGAAUUGACAACUCAGCUGCUAAUACUUGAGAAUAUUCUUUGGCUCCCCUUGUGUCGUAUCAAUAAAUUUGGGUUGAAUACUCUACCCUCGAAAGCUGUUGCGAUCCCCUAUAAUUGUGGGUUAUCACUUAGUUAUUUACUUUGCCUUUAUUUUACCUUGCAUCUUUAUCAUAAAAAUACCAAAAAUCUUAUCUUAUCAUAUCUAUCAGAUCUCACUCUCGUAAGUGGCCCUAUAGGGAUUGACAACCCCUAUUUGCGUUGGUUGUGA
rnacentral:rRNA from 1 species